rnacentral:rRNA from 1 species
CCUACGGGAGGCAGCAGUGGGGGAUAUUGCACAAUGGGGGGAACCCUGAUGCAGCGACGCCGCGUGGGUGAAGGAGUGCUUCGGCAUGUAAAGCCCUAUCGGCAGGGAAGAAGCAAGACGGUACCUGACUAAGAAGCCCCGGCUAACUACGUGCCAGCAGCCGCGGUAAUACGUAGGGGGCGAGCGUUAUCCGGAUUCACUGGGUGUAAAGGGAGCGUAGACGGCCAUGCAAGCCAGGGGUGAAAGGCCGGGGCCCAACCCCGGGACUGCCCUUGGAACUGGAUGGCUGGAGUGCGGGGGGGGCAGGCGGAAUUCCUGGUGUAGCGGUGAAAUGCUUAGAUAUCAGGAAGAACUCCGACGGCGAAGGCAGCCUGCGGGACCGCGACUGACGUUGAGGCUCGAAGGCGUGGGUAGCGAACAGGAUUAGAUACCCGGGUAGUC